rnacentral:rRNA from 1 species
CCUACGGGAGGCAGCAGUGAGGAAUAUUGGUCAAUGGGCGAGAGCCUGAACCAGCCAAGUCGCGUGAGGGAGUACUGCCCUAUGGGUUGUAAACCUCUUUUGUCGGGGAGCAAAAGCCGGACGUGUCCUGAUGUGAGAGUACCCGAAGAAAAAGCAUCGGCUAACUACGUUCCAGCAGCCGCGGUAAUACGGGGUAUGCGAGCGUUAUCCGGAUUUUUUGGGGUAAAGGGGUGCGCAGGCGGAUUUUUAAGUUGGCGGUCAAAUCGGGGGGUUCAAACCCAUCCAGCCGUUGAAACUGGGGAUCUAGAGUGUGCGAGAGGUAUGCGGAAUGCGUGGUGUAGCGGUGAAAUGCAUAGAUAUCACGCAGAACACCGAUGGCGAAGGCAGCAUACCGGUGCACAACUGACGCUCAGGCACGAAAGCGUGGGUAUCGAACAGGAUUAGAUACCCUAGUAGUC